CAGGGCAUCAGGCGUAACAGAGGUUCGAUUAUGGCUCAGAUUGAACGCUGGCGGGAUGCUUUACCUGCACAUGCAAGUCGAACGGCAGCACGGACUUCGGUCUGGUGGCGAGUGGCGAACGGGUGAGUAAUGUAUCGGAACGUGCCUAGUAGCGCGGGGGAUAACUACGCGAAAGCGUAGCUAAUACCGCAUACGCCCUUCGGGGGAAAGCGGGGCCUUCGGGCCUCUCGCACUAUUGGAAGCGGCCGAUAUCGGAUUAGCUAGUUGGUGGGAGGUAACGGCUCACCAAGGCGACGAUCCGUAGCUGGUUUGAGAGGACGACCAGCCACACUGGGACUGAGACACGGCUGAACUCCUGCAGGAGGCAGCAGUGGGGAAUUUUGGACAAUGGGGAAACCCUGAUCCAGCCAUCCGUGUGCGAUGAAGGCCUUCGGGUUGUAAAGCACUUUUGGCAGGAGAAAAACGGCACGGGAUAAUACCCAGUGCAACUGACGGUACCUGCAGAAUAAGCACCGGCUAACUACGUGCCAGCAGCCGCGAUAAUACGUAGGUGCAAGCGUUAAUCGAAUUACUGGGCGUAAAGCGUGCGCAGGCGGUUCGGAAAAGAAAGAUGUAAGGAAAUCCAGGCUUAACUUUGGAACUGCAUUUUUAACUACCAGCAAGUGUGUCAGAGUGGAAUUCCACGAUAAUAGCAGUGAAAUGCGUAGAUAUGCGGAGGAACACCGAUGGCGAAGGCAGCCUCCUGGGAUAAGCACUGACGCUCAUGCACGAAAAAGCGUGGGGAGCAAACAGGAUUAGAUACCCUGGUAGUCCACGCCCUAAACGAUAUCAACUAGCUGUUGGGGCCUUCCGGGCCUUGGUGGCUGUGCUUGCUUGUGAAGUUGACCGCCUACUUAGAGUACGGUCGCAAGAUUAAAACUCAAAGGAAUUGACGGGGACCCGCACAAGCAGUGGAUGAUGUGGAUUAAUUCGAUGCAACGCGAAAAACCCACCUACCCCAUGACAUGUCUGGAAUCCCGAAGAGAUUUGGGAGUGCUCGCAAGAGAACCGGAGCACAGGUGCUGCAUGGCUGUCGUCAGCUCGUGUCGUGAGAUGUUGGGUUAAGUCCCGCAACAGGCGCAACCCUUGUCAUUAGUUGCUACGAAAGGGCACUCUAAUGAGACUGCCGGUGACAAACCGGAGGAAGGUGGGGAUGACGUCAAGUCCUCGCCUGGCCUUAUGGGUAGGGCUUCACGUCGUACAAUGGUCGGGACAGAGGGUCGCCAACCCGCGAGGAAUAAUCCAGAAACCCGAUCGUAGUCGGAUCGCAGUCUGCAACUCGACUGCGUGAAGUCGGAAUCGCUAGUAAUCGCGGAUCAGCAUGUCGCGGUGAAUACGUUCGGGUCUUGUACACACACCGCCCGUCACACCAUGGGAGUGGGUUUUACCAGAAAUGUAGCCUAACCGUAAGGAGGGCGAUUACCACGGUAGGAUUCAUGACUGGGGUGAAGUCGUAACGAGUAG
rnacentral:rRNA from 1 species